GGUAGCUUCUCUCUUCUCCGGCUUUCUUCAAAGCGGUUGACCCAACUCCGGCGAAGUACCUAAAUUUCCGAUCAGUUUCCCCUAACUUAAUUUUCCGUUUCUGAAAAAUUUUAGUACUGAACCCCAAAAUUCAGUUUCCGAAACUUAGAAAAACGAAAUGAAAAACGGAGAAGUAGUGAACGGAAGAGGAGGAGUAUGUUCAUCGGAAACCGUUAAUGGAGGCGAAGAUGUGUUCAGUUGCGAAAAAACUGAUGCUUCCUCUGCUGAUCAUCUUGUAAUUAUGGUACACGGUAUUCUAGGAAGCACUACAGAUUGGAAGUUUGGUGCUGAGCAGUUUGUCCGGAGGUUUCCUGACAAAGUUUUUGUUCAUUGUAGUGAACGUAAUAUUGGAAAACUAACAUUGGAUGGUGUGGAUGUAAUGGGUGAGAGAUUGUCAGAGGAGGUUCUUGAAGUGAUCAAGAGAAAGCCAGGUCUGAAGAAAAUUUCUUUUGUCUCACACUCUGUUGGAGGGUUGGUGGCAAGAUAUGCCAUUGGGAGGUUAUAUAGACCUCGUAGAAUAGAAAAUACUGAGGAUUUAUCAGCCAAUGCAUGUGUAGAAGGGUUGGAGGAUUGCACGAUAGCUGGUUUGGAACCAGUUAAUUUUAUCACUGUUGCCACACCUCAUCUUGGUUCUAGGGGUAACAAGC
rnacentral:misc_RNA from 1 species